CGCGUAGGCGGGCCGGCAAGUCAGGGGUGAAAGCCCGCGGCUCAACCGCGGAAGUGCCUUUGAUACUGCCGGCCUCGAGGGAGGUAGGGGCGUGCGGAACUUCCGGUGGAGCGGUGAAAUGCGUAGAUAUCGGAAGGAACACCGGUGGCGAAAGCGGCGCGCUGGACCUCUUCUGACGCUGAGGCGCGAAAGCCAGGGGAGCAAACGG
rnacentral:rRNA from 1 species